rnacentral:rRNA from 1 species
GUGUCAGCAGCCGCGGUAAUACAGAGGGCGCAAGCGUUAUUCGGAUUCACUGGGCAUAAAGAGCACGUAGGCGGCUACGUAAGUCGGAUGUGAAAUCCCGCGGCUCAACCGCGGAAUGGCAUCCGAUACUGCGUGGCUCGAGGUCGGAAGGGGUAAGCGGAACUCCAGGUGGAACGGUGAAAUGUGUAGAUAUCUGGAGGAACACCGGUGGCGAAGGCGGCUUACUGGUCCGAAUCUGACGCUGAGGUGCGAAAGCUAGGGGAGCGAACGGGAUUAGAAACCCCUGUAGUCC